UUUGUACUCCCUCCGUCCGGAAAUACUUGUCGGAGAAAUGGAUGAAAAUGGGUGUAUCUAGAACUAAAUUGUGUCUAGAUACAUCCAUUCCUCCGAAAAGUAUUUUCGGACGGAGGGAGUACUAC
rfam:Triticum aestivum genome assembly, contig: Triticum_aestivum_CS42_TGACv1_scaffold_514043_6BS